rfam:Candidatus Burkholderia brachyanthoides strain TZHbot7 BRCHctg327, whole genome shotgun sequence.
UUGAGCCGUACGAGGCGAAAGUCUCACGUACGGUUCUUAGGGGGCGAUGGUGCCGUAAUGUGCUGUUGUUACCCGGC